CACACACACACACUUAAAACAAUGAUGUCUCUUAUUCUAAUGCUGUGGACACUCGGUCUGCUCGCACAAGUAUCUCAUCAAGAGGUUCAGUCUCCUGAGUCUCUGAUUGUUAAAGCAGGAGAGUCAGUCUCUAUGAGCUGCACUGGGACCAGUGGAGUUGGUAAUGACAUGAGCUGGUAUCUGCUGAAAACUGGAGAAGCUCCUAAACUCCUGAUCUAUACAGCAAGUAACCUUGCAUCUGGAGUCCCAGAUCGGUUCAGUGGAAGUGGAAAUGAACCUGAUUUUACACUGAACAUUCGUGGAGUCCACCCUGAAGAUGCAGGAGAUUAUUACUGUAUGGGGUUUUAUUCUGAUCCAGCGUUCACACAGUGAAACAGCAUCGUACAAAAACUUCCCUCAGUCAGACGGCACAAUGAAUUUACUCAAGCAGAAUGAACUAUUAAAUGAGAAAUUAAUUCUUCAGUAUGAACAGAAUAUGUAAUUGAUCUAACAUUCUGUCUGUGAUUCUGUGAUAAACAGAGAAAGACACUACAGGUAAAAACAUUGUUUUUUCAUGCACUGGUAAAUUUUGAGAUUUUGAGCUAUUUCAUUUUUCACAAUGUGUUGUUUCAGACUACAAAGAAAACAUCCAAAACACAGUGUUUGCACUUUAUCUAUUUGUUUUAUUAUUGCACUUCAUCUAUUUGUCUCUGUAGAUUAUUCAUAUCUUUAAAGGUCAAAUGUUUUUUUUUUCUUUUCUUUUUCUCAUGCACUGAGCCAGAAAAUCUCCACUUCAGUAGGCCUACAGCACUUACUUUACAGUUUUAGUCCUAUAUUAAAGAGGGAUUUUGUUCACAUUUGCCUGAUUUU